rnacentral:lncRNA from 1 species
GAGUAGCAGUCAUGAAGUUGAGAAGUAAGGGAGCCUCCAACGUCUCCCGGCGUCCCCCGCAAAGUCCUGGACGCUCCGUCCAGAAUUCUCCAACUCCGGCUGACCCAGUUCCUCAGGUCCAGCCGGAACAGUUCAAUGCCCUAGUACAGCAAGUCCAGGCCCUGGCCGCCGCCGUUCAGGGCCUGCGACGUGAGGAAGCUUUACCAACGCUUCCCCCGCGGGCCCAGGUCCCGCCGGAAUUUCUUCCCAACGGCCCGGUUCUCCCCGGCCAGAAUCUACAUGGCUCCUCCAGAGCCAAUAACGAAGAACGGACUUCCCCCCA